rnacentral:rRNA from 1 species
GCAAGUCGAACGGUAACAUGACUAGCUUGCUAGUUGAUGACGAGUGGCGGACGGGUGAGUAACGCGUAGGAAUCUACCCAGUAGCGGGGGAUAAGCCAGAGAAAUUUGGUCUAAUACCGCAUACGCCCUUCGGGGGAAAGCAGGGGAUCUUCGGACCUUGCACUAUUGGAUGAGCCUGCGUGAGAUUAGCUUGUUGGUGAGGUAAUGGCUCACCAAGGCGACGAUCUCUAGCUGGUCUGAGAGGAUGAUCAGCCACACUGGAACUGAGACACGGUCCAGACUCCUACGGGAGGCAGCAGUGGGGAAUAUUGCACAAUGGGCGCAAGCCUGAUGCAGCCAUGCCGCGUGUGUGAAGAAGGCCCUAGGGUUGUAAAGCACUUUCAGCAGUGAGGAAAGGUUAGUAGUUAAUACCUGCUAGCUGUGACGUUAACUGCAGAAGAAGCACUGGCUAACUCCGUGCCAGCAGCCGCGGUAAUACGGAG